rnacentral:rRNA from 1 species
AUUGACCGCUGGCGGCAGGCCUAACACAUGCAAGUCGAACGCGUGGCGGACGGGUGAGUACUGUCUGGGAAACUGCCUGAUGGCGGGGGCUAACUACUGGAACCGGUAGCUAAUACCGCAUACCAUCGGAUGUGCCCAGAUGGGAUUAGCUAGUAGGUGGGGUAAAGGCUAACCUAGGCGACGCUCCCUAGCUGGUCUGAGAGGAUGAACAGCAACACGGGAACUUGGACACGGUACAGGCUCCGACGGGAGUCAGCAGUGGGGAAUAUUGCACAAUGGGCGCAAGCCUGAUGCAGCCAUGCAGCGUGUAUGAAGAAGGCCUUCGGGUUGUAAAGUACUUUCAGCGGGGAGGCGUUACCCGCAGAAGAAGCACCGGCUAACUCCGUGCCAGCAGCCGCGGUAAUUC